rnacentral:rRNA from 1 species
CCGGCUUGANUGCGGUAGGGGAGACUGGAACUCCNGGUGUAGCGGUGGAAUGCGCAGAUAUCAGGAAGAACACCGGUGGCGAAGGCGGGUCUCUGGGCCGUUACUGACGCUGAGGAGCGAAAGCGUGGGGAGCGAACAGGAUUAGAUACCCUGGUAGUNCACGCCGUAAACGUUGGGCACUAGGUGUGGGGGGCCUUUUCCGGNUCUUCCGCGCCGUAGCUAACGCAUUAAGUGCCCCGCCUGGGGAGUACGGCCGCAAGGCUAAAACUCAAAGGAAUUGACGGGGGCCCGCACAAGCGGCGGAGCAUGCGGAUUAAUUCGAUGCAACGCGAAGAACCUUACCAAGGCUUGACAUGUGCCGGUCGGCUCCGGAGACGGGGUUUCCUCCUUGUGGGGCCGGUUCACAGGUGGUGCAUGGUUGUCGUCAGCUCGUGUCGUGAGAUGUUGGNUUAAGUCCCGCAACGAGCGCAACCCUUGUCCCGUGUUGCCAGCACGUUGUGGUGGGGACUCGCGGGAGACUGCCGGGGUCAACUCGGAGGAAGGUGGGGAUGACGUCAAAUCAUCAUGCCCCUUAUGUCUUGGGCUUCACGCAUGCUACAAUGGCCGGUACAGAGGGCUGCGAUACCGUGAGGUGGAGCGAAUCCCUUAAAGCCGGUCUCAGUUCGGAUCGGUGUC